AUUUAGUGAUAGCGGUACCCAGAAGAUUGUUAUACCCUUGGUAGUGUGUGGCAUGUGGGAUGUGAGAGAGAGAGAGAGAGAGAGAGUGUGUGUGUGUGUGUGUGUGUGUGAUGUGAUGUAUCGUUUCCCCUGAAGGUCUAGAAGGCAGCAGAAAAAGUCAAAUUUCUGAAACACCAGAACGGGGCUUUUGGGGGUUCCAGCUAGAGCUGACUAUGGAGACCCAGGCUUACUGCAGAGUGCUAAAAGGGGCUGAUAAACGAAUCCAUCCUAAGACCCCUACUGACAAGACUUCACAGCUGCUCCUGGCACCACAGGGGAUGAAGACAGACCCAAGAAGCAAGCUCUCUGCAUCCAAUCCCGGUUCAGCUUCUCACAGCUCUGUGACAGGCCUCUCUGAGCCUCAGCCUUCAUUUCUGCAAAAGGGAGUAGUAAAAUCCAUCAGAGGGUUACUGGGAACACUCAACGUGAGAGCCAACCUGAAUCUAACCAUGAGGAAAUCACCAGAAUGUCCAAACUGAGGGACAUUCUGCAAAACAACUGAUGUGAAUGCUUAAAAAUGUCAAUGGCAUAAAAGAUCAAAAAAAAAGGUGGGAGACUGUUUUACAGGAAAGAGACUAAGAAGCCAUGACAACUAAAUACAGUGCAUGAUCCUUGAUUGGAUUUUUUUAAAAAAAAGGUCAAAAGACAUUAUCUGGACAAUUGGGAAAAUUUGAAUAUGGACUUACAUAAUACUGUUGUAUUAAUGUAAAAUGUCUUAGGUUUAAUUACGGUAUUGGAUCACACAGCAGAAUGUUCUUCUCCUUAGGAGAUACACUUUGAAAUAUUUUGGGGGUGAACCAUCACCCCCCAUGUCUGUAAUCUGUUCUGAAAUGGUUCAGCAAACCUACAUCCACAGAAAGAGAAAACAAAUGUGGCAAAAUGUAAACUGGUGAAUCUAGGACCAAGAGUGUUCAUCGUACUAUUUUUAUAACUUUUUUGUAGGUUUGAACAUUCUCAAAAUAAAAAUAGGAGAAAAGAUAUACA
rnacentral:lncRNA from 1 species